rnacentral:rRNA from 1 species
AUUGAACGCUGGCGGCAUGCCUUACACAUGCAAGUCGAACGGCAGCACGGGUGCUUGCCCCUGGUGGCGAGUGGCGAACGGGUGAGUAAUACAUCGGAACAUGUCCUGUAGUGGGGGAUAGCCCGGCGAAAGCCGGAUUAAUACCGCAUACGAUCUACGGGUGACAGCGGGUGACCUUCUGGCCUCGCGCUUUCGGGUUGGUCGUUGGCUGAUUAGCUAGUUGGUGGGGUAAAGGGCUACCAAGGCGACGAUCAGGAGACGGUCGGAGAGGACGACCAGCCAACCUGGGACUGGGACACGGCCCAGACUCCUACGGGAGGCAGCAGGGGGGAAUUUUGGACAAUGGGCGAAAGCCUGAUCGAGCAAUGCCGCGGGUGUGAAGAAGGCCUUCGGGUUGUAAAGCACGUUUGUCCGGAAAGAAAUCCUUGGCCAUAAUACGGUCGGGGGGAUGACGGUACCGGAAGAAUAAGCACCGGCUAACUACGUG